AUGGAAGAUCCUUUGGCCACAGAAAACUUUGUACAUGAUUCCUUUGCAGGGGCUCACUUUCCUCUAGUGGAACCAUUUAAGCAAAAUAAGGAGUCCUGUUUCAUCAACAGGUCAGAUGAAUUCGACGACGGCUGCAAAGUAGUUCCGCAAGGCGCAUUGAAUUUGCUCUGUUGGAAUUGUCGGGGCCUGGGGAUGGACCUGACAGUGGGUGAGUUGCGAUGGCUCAUCAAGAAGUAUCAGCCGUCCUUUCUCUUUUUAUCUGAAACAAAGAUGAGGGAUACAAGAGCAAGGAAUUUUAUGUGGUCUUUGGGCUAUGACUCAUGUAUGGUUGUUAGUAGUGAUGGCUUCAAUGGUGGCUUAGCUUUGUUCUAG
rnacentral:rRNA from 1 species